AGGAUGAACGCUAGCGGGAGGCCUAACACAUGCAAGCCGAGCGGUAUUCUGGAUUUAUUCAGGAGAGAGCGGCGUACGGGUGCGUAACACGUGUGCAACCUACCUUUAUCUGGGGGAUAGCCUUUCGAAAGGAAGAUUAAUAUCCCAUAAUAUAUUAAAUGGCAUCAUUUAAUAUUGAAAGCUCCGGCGGAUAGAGAUGGGCACGCGCAAGAUUAGAUAGUUGGUGAGGUAACGGCUCACCAAGUCAAUGAUC
rnacentral:rRNA from 1 species